CCCUUAGAUGUUCUGGGCUGCACACGUGCUACACUGGCAGGUUCAGCGAGCUUCAUGCCCUGAUCUGAAAGGAAUGGGAAAUCUUUUCAAAACCUGCCGUGCUUGGGAUAGAUGUUUGCAAUUAUUCAUCUUCAACGAGGAUUGCCUUGUAAGCGCACGUCAUCAGCGUGCAUUGAAUACGACCCUGUAUUCUGUACACACCGCCCGUCGCUCCUACCGAUUGAAGUUUUCGGUGAGUUGACAGGAGGAUUUUUUUGAAACUGGUUCGACAGUGGAUUUUAGAUCCAAAUGCCAACGAAUCGAUGGCUUUAGAGGAAGGAGAAGUCGUAACA
rnacentral:rRNA from 1 species